GACGUAGGGCGCGAGCGUUGUCCGGAUUUAUUGGGCGUAAAGAGCUCGUAGGCGGCUUGUUGCGUCGGCUGUGAAAACCCAUGGCUUAACCGUGGGCUUGCAGCCGAUACGGGCAGGCUAGAGUUCGGUAGGGGAGACUGGAAUUCCUGGUGUAGCGGUGAAAUGCGCAGAUAUCAGGAGGAACACCAGCGGCGAAGGCGCUGCUCUGGGCCGGUACUGACGCUGAGGAGCGAAAGCGUGGGGAGCGAACAGG
rnacentral:rRNA from 1 species